GCGAUUGUGGUGGAAUGGUAGACACGCUAUCUUGAGGGGGUAGUAAGCUUCGCUUGUACGAGUUCAAGUCUCGUCAAUCGCACCA
rnacentral:tRNA from 1 species